CAGUGGCAGUGAAGGUGGAGAACCUCCUUCUUCCCACUACCAGCUCUGGAAACUGCUCAACGGCCCAUGGGGGGCAACCCAACCCGAUACAGCAUGUGAGAGCCCUCCCGAGCACAUCAGUUACCAGAUGCAGCUGCUCUAAGGAAGUAAAAGAAACAUUUUCUGAAACUGGGAAGCUUUUUUAGAGGAAGAUGGAGAACCCACUUCUUUUAUUCCCUCAACUAAACAUUUCUGCUUCAAAGGAUAAAUCCUAUUACAAAGUCAUGAAGUCAGCGAUUAAAGAAGAGCCACAUAAAGCAAGCAAGCCUGGAGCUAAGCAGAAGAGAAAUAGGUUCAGCCUUCUACUGCAGAAACCUGAAUUCCAUGAAGGUGAUCAUCUUGGUAAACCUGGAAACUUGACAAAAGCAGCAAGCAGUGUGUCUCCUGAAGAAGCAAUGAAAUGGGGAGAAUCUUUUGACAAACUGCUUUCUGAGAAAGGUUAGUAUUUUUUGCCUCUCUGUGCAGACUGUUAGGAUGGAAAAUUGAUGAAAAAUGAUGGACAAUUUAAAAAUGCAGUUGUGCACUUGAACAGACCUGGCAGUUAGCUAAACAAGGUAUGAUGGGUCAUUUAUAGCAGCAUGUGUUUCUGCUCUCCUCACAUGCUUAGGCUAUAGCAUGCUGUCAACUACUGAAACUACUUGAAAAUAACUCUUAAGUUCCAUAUUUUAUUAAAAAAAAGUAAUAGACAGGAAAGAGUUCCUUCAAAAAACAGCAGAAUUUCAUUUAAAUAUUGCUCAAAUAUUCCUGACUGCAAGACCAAACCUUAAAAAUGAAACCAUGUUCUAUGUACAUAAGAAAAGACUUUGUCACUUCUGAUAGUUUGUUUCUAAAGCAGUGAUAGGAUCAAAGCUGGCCAUCAUUUGAGAGGGCCUGUUGCUUACCUAAGUAUCAAAUGCCCAAAUGUCCUGCCUUC